AAUCAAAGAGAGAAAACAGAUGAUCACGCAAAUUUAUUUCCAAAAGAAAAUCAACUCGGUGAUUAAUCUCUGUCAUUGAUUAAAGAAUUAAAACCAUAACAAUUAAAAUGAGAAUUUAAAUCAAUUAGAAUUAAAAAAGAAAACGGUUAUCAGAAUAACCGAACCGCCGCUUAUCCGGUAAAGGAUUAAAAUUCGAAAUUCGAAUCGAUAAUUAAUUUCCCUCCAAAUUUUCAGCUGAUGAGUAGACAAAAUUUUCUCUUUUCUUUCUUAUCAAAGUGAUUUAUUUAAUCAUUUUUUGGAAAAUUUAACGAACAAAUUAAAUUGUCGUUAAUGUCAACAAUUAAAUUCUUUUUGUAUCUGUGUAAAAUCAAUGUGAUCUCAACCUGUUCAAACUAAUCAGAAAACGAAAAAGAAGAGAACAUUUUUUUUCAAUGUUUUCUUUUCUCUUUUUUUUCUUCUUCUCCAAGGCCUAAUCAAACUCUUAAUGCCUGCAUGAUGUUCGGGAGGAGAGAAAAGAAAAUGUUACUUUAUUCUAGUAAUUAAAUCUAAUGACAUGUGUAAUGUUUCUCAUUGUUCUGAUUGCCGGUGGUUUGGUUUAUCUAUUAUAAUGUUUACCAUUUGGCUUCGAGGUUGAUUUGGUUUAAUUUAAUUGUGCUCCUGUUGAUCGUGAAAUAUUAACUCAAAGAAACCAUGUUACAUUAUCCGUUGGUUAAAUAUUGAAAUUCUUACAGUUAUGAAUGAGUUAAUAUAUCAACACUGAAUGAAUGAUUAACAUGCUGUUUUAAGAGAGGUUAAUAUUUUGAUAACACGGAUUGUAACGUUAAUUGUUAUUACCCCAUCAGCAUUUUCAUUGGCCAAGUCUGGACAAUUUAAUGUUUUCAAUGUUAAACUUAAUUCUCUCAUUUAACUUUCUCAUUACAUUGAGAGGAAAAACUUACAUUCCAAGGUGAAAAGCAGAGUAACAUGAAGAUGGAACAACAAGUAUAAAUAAUGAGAAACAACAACAACUCGCAGUGUUUAAGGUUACUUGCUUGUCUUCCCUGUAAACAGGAAGAGAAAAAUAAAAAGAGAAAGACCAGAUGAUGGAAAAUGGUAAUGAUGAAGAUAAAAAGAGAGAGAGCAAAAAAUGAAGAAAUAAAGGUGAGUGAGACAGGAAAUCAUCAUGAAACCAGAAUAAUCUAAAAACCGCAUAUUCUCAAGCUCUAAACUUAAUGAUCCCUAUCGACACUUGACUGAAAAUUAUAUCCCCUGAAUGUUGAUCAUUCAUCAAGAAAUUACCAACGACAAUUAACUUCUAUUUUAUCAUCACUUCUUUUUUCUUCUUUUUCACCAGAAACACAAAAACCACUCUCACCUUUUACCUUUAAUCACCUUUAAUUCAGGUAAAACUAUUGUUGGAAUAAUAGAACAUUAUGAAUUAUCACCGAUCCAUGGAAGUUUCAUCUUCUCUCUUUUCUCAUUCUCUCUUUUUUUUCAGUGAAACCACAAGUGAAAAUCGAGUUAAUCAUGAUAAUAAUGAUUUCAAGAAAUUGUGAUUUACUUAAUUCACUAUUUUUUUCAUAUACAUUAAGUACUAUUAAUGAUAAUUUCUCCUUCAUUUCAUCCCGAUGAUUCAAAACAUUUCAUCAUCUCUUUCCAUUUAAUCAUCAUGAAUUUAUCUCUUUAGUUUCUCAUGUAUGUGUUCAUACAACAGUCUGAAUAGUUUGAUGAUUAACUGAAUUGAUUAAUGAUAAUUGUUACCCUCUCCAUCGGUUCAUUGAUUUAGUUUUCUAAACGAACGUGAAAUGAAAUGAAAUCAUGUUAAUCAUUAAUACAGAUUAUCAAAUGUUACAACAAUUAAUACAAUUUACUUUCUCCUUGAUUGACUUUUUUUUUCAAUUUUCCACAGAAUUAAAUUAAAAUCUUUGCUUUUAAUUAGCACAACAAUUAAAGAUUCUAAAUUCGUAUUAAUUGUUGAAACUAUUGUUAAAUUUACCUUGCGGUUGAUGAAACAAAGACAAUUUCAAAAUCUAAUUGGAUUCUAUCAUCCAUUUAAUUAACUGUUCUAAAUUGUAUAUAAUCCUUAAAUUGUGUUCUAAUAGAUAAAAUUAGUUAUCUAAUUAUAAAUUGAUGAUACAAUAACAAUCAGACUAAUCAACCAAUUGCAAAAAUUGUUCAACACUAAAGAUUAGUUAAACAUGAUUAUUGUGAUAAUUUAGAUGAAGAUUAACAUGAUAAUCUUUAUUAAAUUGUCGAUAAUCAGUUUAAACAAUCAGCUGAUUGUUAGUAACAUUAAUUGAAUCAAAAUAUUGUUUCAAAACAAAAAGCCAAUCCAAACAAUAGUAUCAAGAGACAAUUAAUCAAGAGAGUAAUCACAAUAUGAUGAUCACAAUCAGUUGAUUGCAAAUUUAACUUCAUCUUUCAUGGUUAGAUGAAUAUUUUUUUUAAUCCAAUGAAAAAAAAAUCAUCAAGAAUAACUGAUCAUUGAUGGUGAACUUAAAUUUACAAUCAACAAUCAAUUGAUUUAGUUGAUUACAGGAAGAACUUGAAGUUGAAUAUGAAAAAAAAAGUACAACUGAUAAUAUACAGAAUCGAGUUAACUGUUAACCAUUGAAUUAUUAUCAUCAACUAAUCAUCUUUUUUUUUCUAAUCACAAUCAAUGAACAUGAUUGUUGAUUGUCACCAUAAAGAUGUAUGGUUUUUGUUACAGGUAAUAAACAGUUGACAUUGAUGGCGAAAGGUAAAAAAAAGUUAACUGUUAAUCCGUGGAAUCCAAUCAGAUGAUGAUGCGGAAGAAAAGAUGACGAUGAUGACUAAUCUAAUUGUGACUCUGUGGAGAUUAAAUUGUGUUUGUUAUAAAAUAUUUUUCCUCGCAAUCAACAACAAUAUCCAAUCAACCGGACACAAUUUAAGUUUCUUAAUAACAUGUUCCCAAUAUCUUAAUUUUCCAGUUUGAUGAAACAAUUUUCCAAUCAACGUUAAUUGUUGACCUUACAAUUUGUUGACAAUUACAUUUUCAAUCAAUCAACCAUAAUAAUAAUAAUAAUGGUUAUAAUGAUUGUCCGUUGCCAUUGAGUUCAAAUUAUUUGUUGACAAUUAGUAAAUAAUAGUAGACAAAUUGAUCUUGUUAAUUGUUAUUUAUAUGAAGAAAUGAAUUGAAAAUUGAUUAACUUUUCUGAUCAAAACUUUACUAUUAACUAAUUGAACUUUUUUCUUUCCAGUUCUAAUUGUUGAUGAUACUCUUGGGAUACUCUGUUUCACUUGAAUUAAGGUUAUAAUCUGAUUGAUUGAAAUUAAUAUCAAUCCCAACAAUCAACCCAAAUAAAAGGUUAGCCCAAUUGA